UAUUAUUUUUGUUUUAUCAUUCAUAUAUAUAUGUACCGUUUAUAUGCAAAAUUAAUGUUACCAUGUAAUUUAAUUUUUCUGUUCAGCCGCAAUUUUGUGGAAUUUUUUUUAUCAUAAGAAUUAUCUCGAAAUUUGGUUGUUAUUUAAAAUACUUUUUGAAAAGAAUAAGAGUUGAGUUUUCAAGUUGGAAUCUUUUUCCUUCAAUAACUAUCAUAUAUAAUAUUAUAUAUUUUACAAAGUAUAUACUAUAUUGUUCAGUGUAUUUAUAUUUGAACUUGAAUGUAUUUCAAAUAUUUUCAUGGCUUUUUAUAUCUUCUAGAAUAUAUUUUUUACCUGAGUAAUUAUAAAUAAAUUAUUGUCUAUAGUAAGUAUACAUAUUUUUACCAUUGAAUGUUUUGUUAUUAAGCUUUAAUGUUCCAUUUACCUUAUCACAUAGUAUUAUUUGUUUGGGAUUUUUUUCUUGCAAAGCUUUUGAUAAAAUUUUGAAGAUCUUUUCCAUCAACUGUUGUACAUUUAUGAAAAUAUGUAGAUCGAUGUUUUCCAUCAACUGUUGUAUAUUUAUUAAAGUUUGUAGAAUUUU
rnacentral:sRNA from 1 species